AUUGAACGCUGGCGGCAGGCCUAACACAUGCAAUUCGAGCGGAGUGGCGGACGGGUGAGUAAUGCCUCGGAAUCUGCCUGGUAGUGGGGGAUAACGUACGGAAACGGGCGCUACUCACUCAUAAUAUCAGCUGAGCCUAGGUCGGAUUAGCUAGUUGGUGGGGUAAAGGCCUACCAAGGAGACGAUCCGUAACUUGUCUGAGCGGAUGAUCAGUCACACUGGAACUGAGACACGGUCCAGACUCCUACGUGAGGAAGCAGUGGGGAAUAUUGGACAAUGGGCGAAAGCCUGAUCCAGCCAUGCCGAGUGUGUGAAGAAGGUCUUCGGAUUGUAAAGCACUUUAAGUUGGGAGGCGUUACCAACAGAAUAAGCACCGGCUAACUUCGUGCCAGCCGCCGCGGUAAUUC
rnacentral:rRNA from 1 species